GACGAACCGAGCGAACGUUGUUCGGAAUAACUGGGCUUAAAGGGCGCGUAGGCGGGCCGCCAAGUCCGAGGUGAAAUCCUCCGGCUCAACCGGAGAACUGCCUCGGAUACUGGAGGUCUCGAGGGUGGUAGGGGCAUGCGGAACUGUGGGUGGAGCGGUGAAAUGCGUUGAUAUCCACAGGAACUCCGGUGGCGAAGGCGGCAUGCUGGACCACAUCUGACGCUGAGGCGCGAAAGCCAGGGGAGCAAACGGGAUUAGAUACCCCGGUAGUCCUGGCCCUAAACGAUGGGUACUAGGUAGUAGACUUGACAUGGGUUUACUGCCGGAGCUAAAGUGCUAAGUACCCCGCCUGGGGAGUAUGGUCGCAAGGCUGAA
rnacentral:rRNA from 1 species